rnacentral:rRNA from 1 species
GAUGAACGCUGGCGGCGUGCCUAAUACAUGCAAGUCGAGCGAACAGAUGAGGAGCUUGCUCCUCUGACGUUAGCGGCGGACGGGUGAGUAACACGUGGAUAACCUACCUAUAAGACUGGGAUAACUUCGGGAAACCGGAGCUAAUACCGGAUAAUAUAUUGAACCGCAUGGUUCAAUAGUGAAAUACGGUUUUGCUGUCACUUAUAGAUGGAUCCGCGCCGCAUUAGCUAGUUGGUAAGGUAACGGCUUACCAAGGCAACGAUGCGUAGCCGACCUGAGAGGGUGACGGGCCACACUGGACCGGAGACACGGUCCAGACUCCUCCGGGAGGCAGCAGUAGGGAAUCUUCCGCAAUGGGCGAAAGCCUGCCGGAGCAACGCCGCGUGAGUGAUGAAGGUCUUCGGAUCGUAAAACUCUGUUAUUAGGGAAGAACAAAUGUGUAAGUAACUAUGCACGUCUUGACGGUACCUAAUCAGAAAGCCACGGCUAACUACGUG